GAUGAACGCUGGCGGCGUGCCUAAUACAUGCAAGUCGAGCGAACGGACGAGAAGCUUGCUUCUCUGAUGUUAGCGGCGGACGGGUGAGUAACACGUGGAUAACCUACCUAUAAGACUGGGAUAACUUCGGGAAACCGGAGCUAAUACCGGAUAAUAUUUUGAACCGCAUGGUUCAAAAGUGAAAGACGGUCUUGCUGUCACUUAUAGAUGGAUCCGCGCUGCAUUAGCUAGUUGGUAAGGUAACGGCUUACCAAGGCAACGAUGCAUAGCCGACCUGAGAGGGUGAUAGGACACGAGGGAACUGAGACACGGGGCAGACGCCGAAGGAAGGAAGCAGUAGGGAAUCUAACGCAAUGGGCGAAAGCCUGAAGGAGGAAAGCAGCGAAAGUGAUAAAGGUCUUCGGAUCGUAAAAAUCUGUUAGUAGGGAAGAACAUAAGUGUAAGUAACUGUGCAAAACAUGACGGUACCUAAUAAGAAAGCCACGGCUAACUACGUG
rnacentral:rRNA from 1 species